rnacentral:rRNA from 1 species
UACGUAGGGUGCAAGCGUUGUCCGGAAUUAUUGGGCGUGAAGAGCUUGUAGGCGGUUUGUCGCGUCUGCUGUGAAAUUUCGGGGCUCAACCCCGAACUUGCAGUGGGUACGGGCAGACUAGAGUGUGGUAGGGGAGACUGGAAUUCCUGGUGUAGCGGUGAAAUGCGCAGAUAUCAGGAGGAACACCGAUGGCGAAGGCAGGUCUCUGGGCCAUAACUGACGCUGAGAAGCGAAAGCAUGGGGAGCGAACAGG